rnacentral:rRNA from 1 species
GACGAACGCAGGCGGCGUGCCUAACACAUGCAAGUCGAACGGGGUGAUUCCUUCGGGGAUCGCUUAGUGGCGAACGGGUGAGUAACGCGUGAGGAACCUGCCUUCCAGUGGGGGACAACAGUUGGAAACGACUGCUAAUACCGCAUAACGCAGCUAGAUCGCAUGAUCUUACUGCCAAAGCUUUAUGUGCUGGAAGAUGGCCUCGCGUCUGAUUAGCUAGUUGGUGAGGUAACGGCUCACCAAGGCGACGAUCAGUAGCCGGUCUGAGAGGAUGAACGGCCACAUUGGGACUGAGAUACGGCCCAG